rnacentral:rRNA from 1 species
GAUGAACGCUGGCGGCGUGCCUAAUACAUGCAAGUCGAGCGAACGGACGAGAAGCUUGCUUCUCUGAUGUUAGCGGCGGACGGGUGAGUAACACGUGGAUAACCUACCUAUAAGACUGGGAUAACUUCGGGAAACCGUAGCUAAUACCGGAUAAUAUUUUGAACCGCAUGGUUCAAAAGUGAAAGACGGUCUUGCUGUCACUUAUAGAUGGAUCCGCGCUGCAUUAGCUAGUUGGUAAGGUAACGGCUUACCAAGGCAACGAUGCAUAGCCGACCUGAGAGGGUGAUCGGCCACACUGGAACUGAGACACGGUCCAGACUACUACGGGAGGCAGCAGUAGGGAAUCUGCCGCAAUGGGCGAAAGCCUGACGGAGCAACGCCGCGUGAGUGAUGAAGGUCUUCGGAUCGUAAAACUCUGUUAUUAGGGAAGAACAUAUGUGUAAGUAACUGUGCACAUCUUGACGGUACCUAAUCAGAAAGCCACGGCUAACUACGUG